CGAGUUUGAUCCUGGCUCACUGGAACGCUAGCGGCAGGCUUAACACAUGCAAGUCGAGGGGUAUAGUUCUUCGGAACUAGAGACCGGCGCACGGGUGCGUAACGCGCAAUCUACCUUUCACAGAGGGAUAGCCCAGAGAAAUUUGGAUUAAUACCUCAUAGUAUAAUUGAAUGGCAUCAUUUAAUUAUUAAACUACGGAAGAUGAGCAUGCGUCCCAUUAGCUCAGCCGGUAAGGUAACGGCUUACCAAGGCGACGAUGGGUAGGGGUCCUGAGAGGGAGAUCCCGGACACUGGUACUGGAUCCCAGACUCCUACGGGAGGCAGCAGUGAGGACUAUUGGUCAAUGGGCGCAAGCCUGAACCAGCCAUGCCGCGUGCAGGAUGACGGUCCUAUGGAUUGUAAACUGCUUUUGUACAGGAAGAAACACUGGUUCGUGAACCAGCUUGACGGUACUGUAAGAAUAAGGAUCGGCUAACUCCGUGCCAGCAGCCGCGGUAAUACGGAGGAUCCAAGCGUUAUCCGGAAUCAUUGGGUUUAAAGGGUCCGUAGGCGGUCAGAUAAGUCAGUGGUGAAAGCCCAUCGCUCAACGGUGGAACGGCCAUUGAUACUGUCUGACUUGAAUUAUUAGGAAGUAACUAGAAUAUGUAGUGUAGCGGUGAAAUGCUUAGAGAUUACAUGGAAUACCAAUUGCGAAGGCAGGUUACUACUAAUGGAUUGACGCUGAUGGACGAAAGCGUGGGUAGCGAACAGGAUUAGAUACCCUGGUAGUCCACGCCGUAAACGAUGGAUACUAGCUGUUGGGAGCAAUCUCAGUGGCUAAGCGAAAGUGAUAAGUAUCCCACCUGGGGAGUACGUUCGCAAGAAUGAAACUCAAAGGAAUUGACGGGGGCCCGCACAAGCGGUGGAGCAUAGGUUUAAUUCGAUGAUACGCGAGGAACCUUACCAAGGCUUAAAUGUAGAUUGACCGGUUUGGAAACAGAUCUUUCGCAAGACAAUUUACAAGGUGCUGCAUGGUAGCUCGUGCCGUGAGGUGUCAGGUUAAGUCCUAUAACGAGCGCAACCCCUGUUGUUAGUUGCCAGCGAGUCAUGUCGGGAACUCUAACGAGACUGCCAGUGCAAACUGUGAGAGGAAGGUGGGGAUGACGUCAAAUCAUCACGGCCCUUACGCCUUGGGCUACACACGUGCUACAAUGGCCGGUACAGAGAGCAGCCACUGGGUGACCAAGAGCGAAUCUACAAAACCGGUCACAGUUCGGAUCGGAGUCUGAGUCCUCAUCGAUGGAAUCGCUAGUAAUCGGAUAUCAGCCAUGAUCCGGUGAAUACGUUCCCGGCCCUUGUACACACCGCCCGUCAAGCCAUGGAAGCUGGGGGUGCCUGAAGUCGGUGACCGCAAGGAGCUGCCUAGGGUAAAACUGGUAACUAGGGCUAAGUCGUAACAAGGUAACCUCCAGUAGG
rnacentral:rRNA from 1 species